rnacentral:ncRNA from 1 species
UAUCGCUAAGGGCAAACCCGCUGAAAAACGGGGAUGCCAAAGCUAUAGGGUCUAAGGCGCAUCUAACGCUAUGAUAGCUUGGCUGCCAAA